rnacentral:rRNA from 1 species
AACUUAAGCAUAUUCACUAAGCGGAGGAAAAGAAACUAACCAGGAUUCCCUCAGUAACGGCGAGUGAAGAGGGAAGAGCCCAGCACCGAAGCCUGUGGCCGUUUGGUCCCUAGGCAAUGUGGUGUUCAGGUUGGCUCGCGGGGAUACUGCUCCAUCCUAAGUCCUAUAAUGAGUAAGGUUACUCGGACAUGGCCCAUUGAGGGUGAAAGGCCCGUGGGGGUGGAGAGUCAGACUGGCCAGUAUCUCCCUGAGCAGACCUUGGAGUCGGGUUGUUUGUGAAUGCAGCCCAAAGUGGGUGGUAAACUCCAUCCAAGGCUAAAUACUAGCACGAGUCCGAUAGCGAACAAGUACCGUGAGGGAAAGUUGAAAAGUACUUUGAAGAGAGAGUAAACAGUGCGUGAAACCGUUCAGAGGUAAACGGGUGGAGUUGAACUGCAAGCUCUGAGGAUUCAACUGGUGAGAUUGGCGUGAGCUUGGUCACGUGAGUGGUAUUGCCGUGUCUGCUUAGCUGCAGGUCCUCGCUUCGGUGGGGAUGCGCGUCUAGCUUAUCAAGCUUUGCGCGCACGGGAACUUUUCGAACUCGCUUGCCAGUGCACUUUCUCAGAGUGUUCACCACGACCGGCGUUGUCGUCUGGCUGGUGCGGUUAAACCGGUCUUGUAGGGUCCUUGUGGCCUUGCUUGGUCGGGAUGGCAGGUAGCCCGUUGUGUAUUUCUAUAUGCUUCGGGUGUAAUAGCCGACUGCAUCGGUUCUGUGCGGUACGUCGGAGACGGCGGCUUGUUGUGCGUGCGAGCGUGCCUGUGUGCUGGCGGCUCUGGGUCUGGUUGCCUUGUUGCUUGUGAAUGCAGGCCAGGUGAUGGCUCGGGGUCGUUCGGUGUGCGGUUGCGUUCGUGGCACUUUGAAGGGCCAAUAGUCUGUGGUGUAGUGGUAGACUAUCCACCCGACCCGUCUUGAAACACGGACCAAGGAGAGUAACAUGUGCGCGAGUCAUUGGGCGUUACGAAACCCAAAGGCGCAGUGAAAGUAAAGGUUCGGCUUGUCCGGGCUGAGGUGAGAUCUUGUCGUUUCCCACGCAUGGUACUACCAAGCAUCGAGCGGCAGGCGCAUCACCGGCCCGUCCCAUGACGUAGUGGCGGCUUCGUGCUUGCUCAUCGUCGGGGCGGAGCAUGAGCGUACAUGUUGAGACCCGAAAGAUGGUGAACUAUGCUUGCGCAGGUUGAAGCCAGAGGAAACUCUGGUGGAGGACCGCAGCGAUUCUGACGUGCAAAUCGAUCGUCAAACGUGAGUAUAGGGGCGAAAGACUAAUCGAACCAUCUAGUAGCUGGUUCCCUCCGAAGUUUCCCUCAGGAUAGCA